rnacentral:antisense_RNA from 1 species
CUCUAUGGCGGCUGUGCGCAGGGCGCUUUCGAGCGCGCCGGGUUUGCCUCGGGUCCCGGUUGACCAACCUGCGUACAGUCGCCACCCAU